CUUUUCGGAAGAAUUGCAUUAUGGGCCCUGAAAGCACGGAAAUAGUGUCCACUGCAUGCAUACUUCGUAUUUUGGCAAAUGUAGUACGACAUCCGGGAACUUUAAGCAUCAGGGAAAAUAUUCCAUUCCAAUACUAACUAUAUCCAUACUAUGACUAAUAAGCACACUACAUACUCAAUUUAUGUCACAAAUAGUACGGUUAGUGCGGUCAGUGUGAGUAUUCGAACACCAGCUAGAGACUGUGAGAUCUGGUAGGUUUCGGCAGCCAAGAUAACAAGCAACACCAGGCACAAGAGCCGCGUGCUCAGAUCAGGCACCACAUUACUCGCCAAUCAAUCGAGAACUGAGCCCCGAGUGACCGCUAUAACCGUUUUAUAACGGGCCUGUCGCCCCCAUAUGACUGCGGCCUGUCUGUGUUACGAGAGAAGUGUUGUUGAAAUGCCUUUAUGCAACUCAGGAGUCAGAAGUACAGAUGGUUUCGCAGAGAUCAAUGUAUGCUCCGAUCUGGGGUCCUAUUGUAGCGGAGAGCAGUCACGAGAAGGAGUAUUUGGGUUUUGCCACCCUCCCCAACCAGGUCCACAGGAAGUCAGUGAAGAAGGGGUUUGACUUUACCCUCAUGAUGUUAGUUGAGGAGGAUGCAGGAGAUGCUUCAGAAGAUGCAACAUGAGCAGGUCCUGUGAGCGCUGAUCCUUUACCUUUCACCCCAGAGCUUCUACCUCGCUCCUCUCACCUAAUGAUGUGUGGGAGGAGUAUCACAGGGUCAAUCACAUGCUGGCCAAUCACACACUGCCACCUGACCACUGCCUCUAAAUCGUAAACAUUCAUUGGAGUUCUAUACAGUACAGUUCUGUUUGAACUUUCUGUAAUUGUUACUCCCUCUUCUGAAUAUGUUCAUGUCUCCGAUCACUAACAGAGAAACUGGACACGUGGUAAAACCAACACUAAACACUCUCCAAACCGUGGACAUUAUAGGUCGGCCACACCCUACAUUGGAGUUUGACUUUUAAACAGGGUCAAGCAUUUUGUCAAUGUUUUGUUGGUGUUGUGAAAAACCAAGAAACGGCGUUCUGUUGGAUACCGUUAGAAGCCAAGACUGGAGCCAAGCUUUGUAGCGCUGUAGUGGAUUUGCACCUUAGAUUGCAGUUGAUGUCCGAGCCACUUUUUGUGUAUUCAAGGGAAGUUAUUUAGUACUUAAUAAGGCUGUUUAUGAUUAUGGUUGAAUAUGUAUUUUGCAUUCUACCUGAUCACACAGAAUGUUGGCCAGAUGAAUUUAUUCUGUUUCUAACAUUGUGUUCCAUGUUAUUCAUUUUAAUCGAUGGCAUCUUUGCAUGAGUAAAAGUGAGCAUGUGAAAUUGUGAGUGUAAGUGUGUGUGUGUUUAUAGUUGUGUGUGUGGGAGAAAUAGAGAGAUUUUGUCUCUGUCAGAAACAUAGACCACAGUGCCAUUUCCUGUCCGACAGAAGUUAUGAAACGAACCAAAGUUUUAAGCGAGACUAAAUAUGCAAUUUCCUUUUAGUCCAUUGACAGACUGAGGCUUUCUAAAGCACCACUUCUGUCUAUGAGGGCUCUCUUACGGAACCGGGGCAAAGUGUUACAGCACAAUCAAUACUCUGACAGUCUACUUUAGAUUUACAUUAGAUGAAGAAUCAUUAGAUCAAACUCAAAUGAAAAACUAUAUAGGACCAGAACCCAUCCACUUGACAAGAUUGCAUUACACCCUUUAAGUGUGUGUGUGUGUGUGUGUGUGUGUGUGUGUGCCUGUGUGUCAGUGGUGGUGAGGUUUAGCCUGUAUGUUGGUCCAUCCCAUUGUUGUACGCUACAUAGAUGAGUAGAUAUGUCAGCAUGAUCAAGGUUGUGUCCACACAGACACAGUGAUGUCUCACACUGGUGCUCGUCACAAAAUAAAAGCCCACCGCUGUACCUUUGAUGCUCACUAAUAUUACUGUGUGUUAUUGGGUGUGUGGCUUAGCAUCGGACAGUGUUUUACCCCUGAUACAUGGCUGUGCCGUGUGAAACCUCAACAAAUAGUCUCAUCGUAGGUUACUGUACACUGUGAAAAUGCAGUCCAGUCUGUUUUGUUCAGUGCUGGUUAAUCUACUACGUCAUCAUAACACAUCGUUUGGGACCUGCCAUCUAUUCGUACGCAGUCCCUCUGGAUGAACUUGCUCAUAGACACUCAUCUAAGGUCAGCUUUAUGUUUCCCCCCUCUAAUGGGGUUAGGAUUUGGUGAAGGUAAACUGACUCUAGAUCUGUGCCUAAGGACAACUGCUUUGCCUGUCUGUGAGGAUGAGACGAGGCCUGUCGUCCCCUAUCACAGGUAAAAACGUGAUUCACGUAUGGUUGAUUAUGAGCCAAAACAGUAGGGAGAAAGGCAACCUGUCUAGUUAUUCUAGGGUUGGUAUUCAGGGAGAAAAUGUCCUUGUUCACUCUUCUGUUAUAGGUCCUGUGUAUGGAAUCUAUUUUUCCCACUGUUCUUUCAGGCUAACGCAGACCAAGACACUGGGACCUACACAGAUUUACUGAAACCAAAUCUUUUGGAUUUUUAUAACAAAACUCUGAGAAAAAUGGAGGAAAAGUCUGAAUCCAACUAUGAAAGAGGUGAGUCCCUCAGUUACUUUCUCAUUUAGCAUACAUGUACAACCGAUUUAGUACACCAGUACAGCACCCUUACCCAUUGAGAUGUAUAUACAAUAAGUUCUGCAAUACAUACAUUUUGUAUAAGUCCUGUUGCUACUGUAAGGUUCUGUAUUUAUUUUCUUAGUCAACCUUGUGUUCUGUUUCGUUGUGUUCUUGAACGUAGCCCUGCCUUUCAUUUUUGUUAAUUGAUUUCACCUGUGUUCGUUUCUCACCUGGUCUCAUCAGCUCCUUGUUUAGUUCAGUUCAUUCUGUUUGUGCCUUUGUGAGGUAUUGUUCGUUUUGACUCUACUAAGCCUGUUCCUAGCUCAUUUGUGAGAACCAGUUAUAGCUUCCAGUCCUAGUUUUGAUUCACCUCCCUGUUUGCCUACCUGUGUUUGACCACUGCCUUUGACCACAAUUCGAGAUAAACACCUGCCGCGCACUGCGCAUGAAUCCAGACCUUUUUCUCUCUGAGUAUUCAUUACAGCUACAGGGCCGUUACUGUUUUACAAUGUGUUAAUCAGAUUGAACUCCAUGGAAGGCAUUGGUUUUAAAGGAGAAUACAAUGUUUUGUCAGGUUCUGACCUUAUACCAAAAUAAUUGUCUUUGUGUUAGUAUGGUCAGGGCGUGAGUUUGGUGGGUAGUCUAUGUUCGUUUUUCUAUGUUGUGUUUUGAGUUUGGCCUGGUAUGGUUCUCAAUCAGAGGCAGGUGUCGUUAGUUGUCUCUGAGAAUCAUACUUAGGUAGCCCUUUUCUCACCUGUGUUUGGUGGGUGUUUAUUUUCUGUUCUGUGUUUGUAUUUCACCGUUCAGGACUGUUUACGUUUCGUUCUCGUGUUUUGUUGUUUUUGUUCGAGUCUUCGUUUCCAUUAAAAGAGAAUAUGAAUACUUACCACGCUGCACCUUGGGCCUCCUCUCUUUCUCCCAAUGACGAACGUUACAUGUUUUGAAGUUUGGUUGGUUG
ensembl:lncRNA